rnacentral:rRNA from 1 species
GAUGAACGCUAGCUACAGGCUUAACACAUGCAAGUCGAGGGGCAGCACGGAGAUAGCUUGCUAUCUUGGGUGGCGACCGGCGCACGGGUGAGUAACGCGUAUCCAACCUGCCCAUUACUCAGGGAUAGCCUUGCGAAAGUAAGAUUAAUACCUGAUGUUGUUAAAAACCCGCAUGAGUUUUUAACCAAAGAUUUAUUGGUAAUGGAUGGGGAUGCGUGACAUUAGGUAGUAGGUGAGGUAACGGCUCACCUAGCCGACGAUGUCUAGGGUUCUGAGAGGAAGGUCCCCCANACUGGAACUGAGACACGGUCCAGACUCCUACGGGAGGCAGCAGUGAGGAAUAUUGGCAAAUGGACGAGAGUCUGAACCAGCCAAGUAGCGUGCAGGAUGACGGCCCUCUGGGUUGUAAACUGCUUUUAGUGGGAAUAAAAAGACGGGACGUGUCCCUAAUUGUAUGUACCAUCAGAAAAAAGGCCGGCUAAAUUCCGUG